UACAGGGGGUGCAAACGUUGCUCGGAAUUAUUGGGCGUAAAGCGCGCGUAGGCGGCCACUUAAGUCGGAUGUGAAAGCCCCUGGCUCAACUGGGGAAGUGCACCCGAAACUGAAUGGCUUGAGUGCGAAAGAGGGUCGCGGAAUUCCCGGUGUAGAGGUGAAAUUCGUAGAUAUCGGGAGGAACACCGGUGGCGAAGGCGGCGACCUGGGUCGACACUGACGCUGAGGCGCGAAAGCGUGGAGAGCAAACAGG
rnacentral:rRNA from 1 species